GUCUCUCUAGUUCUGCCCCCUCCUGCUCUCCUGCCAGUACUUCCUUCUUUCCAUUCAGCUUCCUCCUGCUUCCCGCACACCCCAUAGUUCACCGAGGCCGAAGAAGAAGGGGUUGAGUGAAAGGGGUGCUUCCCGAAGAAGUCUCCUCUCUGCUCUCCACAGUGGUGUCAGGAAGUGUGCCAAACGGGAAUGCCACUGACUGUGCCCUGAGGAUUUUGCAGCUUCCGUUUUAGCCUCUGCGCAUCCAUCAGUGGACAAGACCAAGCCUUUACUCUCACAGCAUUCUACAGUGGGAAGCAGACAAUAAACAGCUUACUGUGAGGAUCUGCUGGGGAUCUCCUCCAUCCAAAGUGGCAGUACCUUGAGAAGCCAGGUGUGAAGAAGCA